UAGAUUUUUAUUUUAUUUAGAAUAGCUCAUUUACACUGAGCAGGUUUAGAAUCUUA
rnacentral:tRNA from 1 species